AUUAAACGCUGGCGGCAUGCCUUACACAUGCAAGUCGAACGGCAGCACGGGGGCAACCCUGGUGGCGAGUGGCGAACGGGUGAGUAAAGCAUCGGAACGUGCCCUGGAGUGGGGGAUAACGUAGCGAAAGUUACGCUAAUACCGCAUAUUCUGUGAGCAGGAAAGCAGGGGAUCGCAAGACCUUGCGCUCUGGGAGCGGCCGAUGUCGGAUUAGCUAGUUGGUGGGGUAAAGGCCUACCAAGGCGACGAUCCGUAGCGGGUCUGAGAGGAUGAUCCGCCACACUGGGACUGAGACACGGCCCAGACUCCUACGGGAGGCAGCAGUGGGGAAUUUUGGACAAUGGGCGAAAGCCUGAUCCAGCCAUGCCGCGUGGGUGAAGAAGGCCUCGG
rnacentral:rRNA from 1 species